rnacentral:misc_RNA from 1 species
CGAACGCGCGAGGGCCUUUGAUGGACUGCACCAAAUUAGUACCUUUUGCCUUAGAAUAUUGCAGGGAUCCGUGAAUUAUUAAUUGCUCUGGGUCAAACACACGCCAUCAUCCACUUGUCUACCUCUUGGUGUCAACAGGGGGGGAGAAGAAAAAGGAAAAAAGGUUGAAAGAAAAGGAGAGGAAAGGAGAAGCAGAAGAACACAGAAGACGGAAGAAAAGCGAGACAGAGAACAAAAUCAGGGGAACAAAAGGGAAAGAAAGGAAGAACAGAAGAAGAGAAAGGGAAGUAGAAAUAUAGAAAAGAAAGAGAAGAGAAGGAGAAUUUUGGAGACAGUCACGGAGACAAAAGGAGACGCAAGCACAGCAAGCACAGCCAGUCGCACCCGCUCACCAUGGCCCUGAGGAACCUUGUGGACGCCCAAUGUGGGGAAGGGAAUGCGCUGGUCCGCCUCACGCAGCACGUUAUGCGCGACAAGUCCCUGGCGGACGAGGGCCUACGCUGGCCCCAGGGGCGUCCGCCAGCCCAAGAAGGGGCCUUCAAGGUGCAGUAUGGGCCAACUCUCGUGGGGGACCAGCUGGUCGAGGAAUUCAUGACGGAGACGCAGCAGGCCGCCACAGCAGCCCCACAGGCCUUCAGGAUGGAUUCACUACUGCAGGAAAUGCGUGAGAUUGAAAGUAUGCGUGCAAGAGCAGGACCCAUGAGGGGGCCAGGCAUUGCUGACCUGGCAUCUGAGGCAAGCAACUGGGCUGAAGAAUACCUGGCCUCAGAAACACAUGUCCAGGACAUAGGCCCCGUAGGAGACUGGACCAAAGAAUUCCUUGAGCAGCAGCACGGCCUCACGUCCCCUGAUAUAAUAACAGACAAUGACACCAAGUGGGCCCACGAGUACUUGAACGACAGUCUUCUAGACGAGGCGGCAAGCUCAGAGGCUAGCAAGUGGCUGGAGGAAUACAACCCGCAAGAGGACUCUGAGCUCGCCAGGACAGCCAACGAGCUUCUGGGGACUGUGGACGACCCCAAGUUCUCUAACACUGAGUUCAUGAAAUUCAUCAGGAAGCUCGGGGAGGGGUCGAAGGGCGAGGUCACCAAGGACUGGACAGAAGAAUUCCUCUCAGCCAACGGCGCCAGGGCCUCUGCUGAGUCCUGGAGCACGGAAUUCACCAAGGGACAACAACAGAGGCAGCAGCAGCCUCACGAUCGUUGGGCAGAGGAGUUCGCUCAAGCUCAGAGAUUAGGUACCCUAGAACAUGUGAACGUAGACAGCGAGAACAUGAGCAGUGAGGAGCGGGAGGACUUUUGGCAGAACCUGAAGGAGGAGUGGGAGAAGAUGGCCCGCGAAGAUGACUUGGAGGAACACCCUUGGCUUUCAGAAUUCAAUUCGUCCUCUCUUGAGCCAUUUAAGGACUACAAAUUCGAGGAGGACAACCCCCUGAAAGAUCAUCCAGACCCCUUGACCGAGGGCAAGAAGUGCCUGGAGGCGGGAGACCUUCCCUCGGCUGUGCUCCUCUUUGAGGCUGCUGCACAGCAGAAUCCGCAGAACCCUGAGACAUGGCUGUUGCUUGGGGCUGCCCAUGCUGAGAAUGAGCAGGACCCAGCUGCAAUAUCAGCCCUCAGAAGAUGUGUAGAACUUGACCAAAAUAAUAGUGUGGCUUGGAUGGCACUAGCAACUUCUUACACCAACGAAUCUUACCAGACUCUGGCUUGCAAUGCACUAAAGGAAUGGAUCCGCACUAAUCCUGAGUAUGCCCAGUUGGUUCCAAAGGGGGACACCUCACACAAGAGAUCCAAGCUGAUGACCUCAACGCUUGCACCAAGAGCUUUGAUCCAAGAGGUGCAAGAUCUCUAUCUGGCGGCAGCCAACCAGCGCCCGAGUGAAAACAUUGACGCGGAUGUGCAGUGUGGUCUUGGCGUGCUGUUCAACCUGACGGGCGAGUAUGACAAGGCUCUUGACUGCUUCCAGGCAGCCCUGAGUGUCCGGCCGAAGAGAGGCCAUGGAGCACUUCCUGGAGGCCCUGAACAUGCAGGCGGCUGGUCGAGGGCCCGGAGGGGAGGGCUCCACGCGAGCUGUGUCUGACAAUAUCUGGUCCACCCUGAGGGUCUGUCUGUCGUCCCUAGGAGCAACACACCUCAUGGAUGCUGUCAGUAAGAGAGACUUAACUCGACUAAAUGCUGAAUACAACAUGGGCACGUCGAGCUGACUUUCCUCCCUCCACUCCAGUCCCUACCCCUCCCUCCCACCUUCCACCCAAAGCAUCCACAACACCUUCCCACCGCUGUUUACCCCCACCACUACCACCUCUCCUGCCCCUCCCCUGAGGAUAGCAGAGGUAGACUUGUGCGACGUUCACGACUGCCUGCCCUGCGAGUGCCUCCACCCACCAAGGCCAACGUCACAGGUGCCUCACCCCAGCGGACAGCACGGAAGCUGAUGGGACUCCUGUAGGACUCUCAGUCGCUGUUGUCUCUAUAGUAGUUGUGAGUGCUCCUUCACACAACUGGUUGGCUGGCUGAGUGGGUUGCAGUAGAAAAGGUUUACAGACAUAUGAGAGAGAGAGAGAGUGUGUGAGUGAGAGUGUGGAGGCAAGAGAGCAUCUGAUAUGCAUUUCCUCAAAAUUUGGUUCUCCUUCUCAGUCUGUAUUCAUCUUAAUUAUUUCUCUUUUUUGUGUGUUUAUUAUUUUUCCUCUUCAGAAUGUGCUGACAUAUAAAUACAUAUAUGCAGCUAGCAUAUAUAAAGAUACAUGCAGAGUGAGGCUAGUACUGCUUCUAGAGUACCUGAGGUAAUUGUACCAGUACUGCUUAUUUACAGUACUAUCUUAAGUGAUAGCAGGACUGUUAUGCAAUACUUUUAUACAUUAUUCUUUUGUGAGGAAAGUUAAUUUCUUGGAAGCCAAGAUAAGCCACAUAUGAAUUUUAAAUCUUUCUGUGUAGAAAAUAUGAACUUUAUUGAUGUUUUUGCAAAUAUUUUCAGCACUUAUCAUAAGUAUACAAAUUGUACUUAUUUUUGUUGCUAGAGGGUUAAGAAAGGAAGUGGUUCAUAUAAAUGCGAGAGUUCUCCUCUUCACAAUAAAAUAAUGCAUGACAAAGAAAUAAAUUGCUUUAUAAGAUUUUCAUACGAAAUAGUAAACAGUAAGACCGAGCCUGAAAACCUAUUGGUAGAAACUAGUCAAACAAAGCUGUAAUUAUGUUAAAAAGAGUUCCAUUUACUGCUACCACCAAGAUGCCUCCAAAAUUACUUGUGGUACCUCUAGCGGUACUAGUCCCAGAAAGUAAUGGCUGGACUGUUAAUGGUACUAAAAGAGUUGCUAGUACUUUUAUUAGUAGUUCUGCCCCAUUUUGCACUCACAUGCUCACACACAAACACAGAUGUAUUCAGGUAUAGUUGUUGAUUGGCUGUUGUCAUUCUUGUCCUUGUGUUUGACAGGAAGAUGAGGGUAUUGUGUUUGAAUAGUGAAAGUUAUUGAUGAUUAUUGAUUAGUAGUAAUAGUAGCAAAAUCAUUAUCUGUUAUUAGAAUGAUUUUUUGGUUGGAGUGGGAGUCCACUUUUAUAUUCUACUGUCACUAUGUCAUAACUUUGUAAUUUGAAGUGCAAUAGAUAGGUGGAAACUUGAAAAUUUCACUUACACGUGAAAGGAUGGUUACCAGGAAGAUACACUUACCUCUGGCUUUCAUCUUAAUAAUUUUGUAAACUGAUUUUAGCCAAAUUUACAGUUUUCAAAUAAUGAUUUUUCUUCCCCUUUUUUUGUUACUGGUGCUAAAUAUUCUCUAUUAUUAUUAUUAUUAUUGUUAUUCUGAUGAUUAUUGUUAUUAUUGUAAUAUUAUAUUAUCACAUUAUUCCUUUGGGUUAUUAUUUCCUUCAAUUUUCUUCUCUCUUUAUCUUUUGUCUAUAUAGGUUUUUUGUACUAUGUCUUCUGUUGUAUACUUAGGUAACUCAUUUUAUCAUUUUGCCAGUCUCUCCCUUAGGGAUCUGGUUUAACCCAUUCGCGCCGGAUGACGUGCAGACACAUUUCGUGUUUUUUGCGUAAGACGCCGGCGACAAGAUAUUUGGUCAAGGCUGGCGUUCACGGUGGGCGAGUGGACAGCCCA